ACAAAAUUAAAUUAGGAAAUGAAGAUUUGUUGGAUAUUAUCAAAUUUGGUAAUUAGCUAAUACAUAUUUUUAAAUAUUAUCUUUACAAUUGAUUGGUAACCUGUUGAGCAGGUUACGAUUGUGUAAAUGUAAAUCUUAACCUCAGAAAUAUGAAUGGUCAGAUUUAAAUUGGCCGGUGUAUAGAAGUAUUUCUCAUUAAUUUUAUAUAGUUGGAUAUAUUAAUGGAAUUUUUUUUAUUGUUAAUGAGCUUAUAAUGUAUACUGACGAAGCGAUAAAUGACAAUUUAAAAAAGAAAAAUCUUUGAAGUAAAAAUAAUAUUG
rnacentral:lncRNA from 1 species